GGGUAUAGCUCAGUGGUAGAGCAUGUGCUUAGCAGGCUCAGGGUCCUGGGUUCAAUCCCCAGUGCCUCCA
rnacentral:tRNA from 1 species